UAUGUAAUGUGGUCCACGUCU
rnacentral:miRNA from 4 species